UGGGGAAUUUUGGACAAUGGGGGAAACCCUGAUCCAGCAAUGCCGCGUGAGUGAAGAAGGCCUUCGGGUUGUAAAGCUCUUUUGUCAGGGAAGAAACACCGGCUCUAACACAGUCCGGGAAUGACGGUACCUGAAGAAUAAGCACCGGCCAACUACGUGCCAGCAGCCGCGGUAAUACGUAGGGUGCAAGCGUUAAUCGGAAUUACUGGGCGUAAAGCGUGCGCAGGCGGUUAUACAAGACAGGCGUGAAAUCCCCGGGCUUAACCUGGGAAUGGCGCCUGUGACUGUAUAGCUAGAGUGUGUCAGAGGGGGGUAGAAUUCCACGUGUAGCAGUGAAAUGCGUAGAUAUGUGGAGGAAUACCAAUGGCGAAGGCAGCCCCCUGGGAUAACACUGACGCUCAUGCACGAAAGCGUGGGGAGCAAACAGGAUUAGAUACCCUGGUAGUCCACGCCCUAAACGAUGCUGACUAGUUGUUCGGGAUUUACAUCCUGAGUAACGUAGCUAACGCGUGAAGUCAGCCGCCUGGGGAGUACGGUCGCAAGAUUA
rnacentral:rRNA from 1 species